rnacentral:rRNA from 1 species
UACGAAGGGGGCUAGCGUUGCUCGGAAUCACUGGGCGUAAAGCGCACGUAGGCGGCUUUCUAAGUCAGGGGUGAAAUCCUGGAGCUCAACUCCAGAACUGCCUUUGAUACUGGAGAGCUAGAGUCCGGAAGAGGUGAGUGGAACUGCGAGUGUAGAGGUGAAAUUCGUAGAUAUUCGCAAGAACACCAGUGGCGAAGGCGGCUCACUGGUCCGGUACUGACGCUGAGACGCGAAAGCGUGGGGAGCGAACAGG